GUACUUACGUCAGCAGCACAUAUACUUAGUUGGAAUGAGACAGAGAAGAUAAACAUGGCCCUGGGCAAGGAUGUCAUUCAAAUUAUAAAGCAGUCCAUAUUUUU